UACAGAGGGUGCGAGCGGUGUUCGGAAUCAUUGGGCGUAAAGCGCUUGUAGGCGGCCUGUCAAGUCGCGUGUGAAAUCCCUUGGCUUAACCAAGGAAGUGCGCGCGAAACUGGCGGGCUUGAGUGCCGGAGAGGGUCGCGGAAUUCCCGGUGUAGAGGUGAAAUUCGUAGAUAUCGGGAGGAACACCAGUGGCGAAGGCGGCGACCUGGACGGACACUGACGCUGAGACGCGAAAGCGUGGGGAGCAAGCAGG
rnacentral:rRNA from 1 species